rnacentral:lncRNA from 1 species
CAACUGGGAGACCACCUUGCCAGGGGCUGGGACCUCUGGCUUUGAAAGCUAGUGUUCGUGUAAAGCACAAGUAGCUAAACAUCACCUUCAGCGAGGGGCAACUGAAAGAAGGCAGAUUUGCGAACUUCUUCCAAGAGAAAGAAAGAAGAUGAUCAUCAAGUGAGACUGAACCACGUGCCCACCACAAAACCCCAGAGGCAGUUGCCGGUGGUCAUUCCGCGUGCCUCCUUCCUAACGCCCUAUUUCAACUGGCUCUGCUCCCCGCAAAUACUCUACCAACGCCCUCCAGUAGCACGCCCAGGCCUGCUGCAACUGCUUUCUACCUCAAGCGGUGGCUGCCCUGAAAUGCUUUACUUUCGAUUUUCACCGUGUCGCUGCUGUUCUGGAGUCCAGAUUGGAACCUUCUGA